GAACAACGUGAGGAACAGCUGUGAUGGAAAAACCGAGUGUGACAUAAAGUCAAACAUUACUUAUGAUCCUGGAGUCUGCAAAUACCUGCAGACCACCUACGACUGCUUCACACGCCAAAGUGUAAUAUGUGAAGGAUCUCAGGCAAACCUUCAGUGUGAUGAAGGACAGGUUAUAGUCGUCUCCUGGGCGAAUUAUGGUCGCCGUGA